rnacentral:rRNA from 1 species
ACAACUUUCAGCAACGGAUCUCUUGGCUCUCGCAUCGAUGAAGAACGCAGCGAAAUGCGAUAAGUAAUGUGAAUUGCAGAAUUCAGUGAAUCAUCGAAUCUUUGAACGCACCUUGCGCCCUUUGGUAUUCCAAAGGGCAUGCCUGUUUGAGUAUCAU